rnacentral:lncRNA from 10 species
GCAGGAGCUACAGGCGUGAGACCCACCGGGACCCGCGAGCGGGAUCAGGGCUGGGGGAUUAGCAGAGCCGCUUGCGAGGCUGACCCUCUCCAGGAUGCCCCAUGUAAACCUGGAUGAUUCCUUCCUUCUGAGUACGGGGCAGGACUCUCUCUGGGAUGGAGGGGUCUUAGGACCUGCAAGCAAACAAGGACAGAGGCAGUAGUAGAAGCCAUGAGUCUGAUAAGUUUGCUGAAGGAGAGAGUGUGCUAUGAGGACGGAUCGUUGACAAGACCCUGGAGGACACAAGGACCUAAGAGCCCCUAAGAGGAGACAGAGAAGGUGCUG